AGUUCAAGGACUAUAUGAAACAAAUGCUUACCCUCUGAUAUAUUUAAUGCAUAAUAAUGAGUAUAUUGGGACUGGUAAUUAUUUACUCAAGCAUAAUUUAAUAAAUUUAUUGUCUAUUUAUAAAGAUGUAAAUUUUGAGGGUCUUGCUGAUAUUAGUACUAAUACUGAUAGUAAAAAAAACAAGUUAACAAUCGAUGAGUUAACAGAUAUUGAAGAUGGAACUAAAAUUGAAAGAGUAAUAAAAAAAAGGAUGCAGUUUAUAAAUAAACAUGUAAAUAAUAAACAUUUGAUAAAACAUUCGAGUAUAAUAUAUUUGUAUGAAUUAAUAAAUAAAGAUAAUUUUUAUUUUUUAUUACAUUUUUUAUACAAAAAUAGUAAUGGAGGAGUGAUUAUAGUAAUCCCUGAAAGUUUAUAUAUAGACAGUGAAGAGUUUGUACGAAUAAAUAGUAAUAAUUUUGGGGCUAAUGUUGGUAAUAAUGUUAGAGAUAAUGAAAAUGAAAAUAUUAAAAAUAUUGCAAGUGUCAGCAACGAAAUAAUAGAAAAACGAAUUAGAUUUAUUCAAAGUAUAUUAUUUAAUUUAAAAUUAAAUCAGUAUAUUUAUUUUGUACCUAAUAAUAAAGAAAUUGAGAAAAGAUAUACAUUAUAUAAAGAUAGUUUUUUUUUUUUUGAUUUGACUAGAAAUGUUACAAUUAGUGCAAUUAAAAAUACUCAGAAUGUUGUAAAUAUGUAUGGAAAACAUUUAUUAUUUUUUUUAACAAAAGAUAAUAUUAAUAUUAAUUCUAUAUUUAAACAAAAACAAAAUAAUGAAACUUAUUUACUUUCUAAGAAAAAAACUAUUAUUUUAUCAGUAGAUUAUAACAAUUUUCAUAUUAUUAGUGACAUGUUAUUAAAAACUACAUCAACUAACACAAGUUUAUUGGUUAUGAAUGAAUUAAUGAAUAUAUUUACAAAAGUAUAUGAAAAAGAAAAUAUAGAUUAUAAUUUAUUAUUUUUUUUUACUAAUUAUUCUUAUGGUAUAAACAAUUUCAUAGAUACAAUAAAUCCAAUAUUCAAAGAAAGUAUCGAAUUUAUUAUAUGCUUAGAUAACCUAAAUGAAAACGAUUUUUUUCUUUAUGAUGAACCUAAAUUACAAGAAAAUUUAUUACUAAUGCGUUUUUAUGAUAUAUUAAAAAAAAAAGUACAACAAAAUUUACAGAAAGAAAUGCAAAUAGAAACACAAAAAAUAAAAAUCCAUAAUAAACUUUUACCUAACAUGCAUGAAUAUUUUGUAUUAAAAAAAUUGAGUAGUAUUACUUUGAGUUCCCAAAAAAACAAUUUUGUUUUUAUUAAUAAAAGACCUCUAAUUGAACAAAAAUUAAAUUUGCAUAAUCUAAAGAAACAUAUAAAAAU
rnacentral:lncRNA from 1 species